AUAUUAAAGUUGUUGCCGUUAAAAAGCUCGUAGUUAGAACCUUGGACCUGGCUGAUCUGUCCUCCUAAUCGAGCGCACGGAUUCGGUCGGGUCUUUCCUUCUGGGGAGCCCUAUGCCCUUCACUGGGUGUAGUGGGGAACCAGGACUUUUACCUUGAAAAAAUUAGAGUGUUCAAAGCAGGCAUUUGCUCGAAUACAUUAGCAUGGAAUAAUAGAAUAGGACAUCGGUUCUAUUUUGUUGGUAUCUAGGACCGCUGUAAUGAUUAAUAGGAUAGUCGGGGGCGUCAGUAUUCAAUUGUCA
rnacentral:rRNA from 1 species